rnacentral:rRNA from 1 species
CGCCAAGCGUAGUAGGUGACCUGCGGAGGACAUUAAUCGAAUGAACAUGUCUCUCAGCAUGAUAUUUCAAAUCCCACCUGUGUAUCUUACCUGUUGCUUCCGUGCUGCACAUGCUGCCAAGGCGUGUCUCCUGGUCCCGCGUACCGAGUGCUACGACGCGGAACCUGGUGAGUCGGCACGGGAGGUUAACCUUAAACUCUUGCCUCUGAAUGCCUUCUGUCUGAACUGUAGUACAUUGGAAAAAAGUUAAAACUUUCAACAACGGAUCUCUUGGUUCUCGCAUCGAUGAAGAACGCAGCGAAAUGCGAUAAGUAGUGUGAAUUGCAGAAUUCCGUGAAUCAUCGAAUCUUUGAACGCACAUUGCGCCUCCUGGCAUUCCGGGAGGCAUGCCUGUUCGAGCGUCACUAAAAUGAACUCAAGCACUUUUUGCGUGGUCAUGGAGGAAGAGCCUGCCUUGUUGCGGUGUCUCCCCUCCCAAAAUCAACGGCGGAAAGUCACUGGCACUCUGCGUAGUAGUAUCAUUCGCCGAUCAUCCAGUGUCCUUCCUGCCGCCAAACCCCCACAAUUCUCUCGAUUGACCUCGGAUCAGGUAGGGAUACCCGCUGAACUUAAGCAUAUCAAUAAGCGGAGGAA